rnacentral:rRNA from 1 species
CCAACCGGGAUUGCCUUAGUAACGGCGAGUGAAGCGGCAAAAGCUCAAAUUUGAAAUCUGGUACCUUCGGUGCCCGAGUUGUAAUUUGGAGAGGGCAACUUUGGGGCCGUUCCUUGUCUAUGUUCCUUGGAACAGGACGUCAUAGAGGGUGAGAAUCCCGUGUGGCGAGGAGUGCGGUUCUUUGUAAAGUGCCUUCGAAGAGUCGAGUUGUUUGGGAAUGCAGCUCUAAGUGGGUGGUAAAUUCCAUCUAAAGCUAAAUAUUGGCGAGAGACCGAUAGCGAACAAGUACAGUGAUGGAAAGAUGAAAAGAACUUUGAAAAGAGAGUGAAAAAGUACGUGAAAUUGUUGAAAGGGAAGGGCAUUUGAUCAGACAUGGUGUUUUGUGCCCUCUGCUCCUUGUGGGUAGGGGAAUCUCGCAUUUCACUGGGCCAGCAUCAGUUUUGGUGGCAGGAUAAAUCCAUAGGAAUGUAGCUUGCCUCGGUAAGUAUUAUAGCCUGUGGGAAUACUGCCAGCUGGGACUGAGGACUGCGACGUAAGUCAAGGAUGCUGGCAUAAUGGUUAUAUGCCGCCCGUCUUGAAACACGGACCUCCUGUGUGAGGGAUCCCCCCUAA